AUGGCAGUCGCUAAUCCCGUCUCUUUACCGCGGAUUAUCGCAUACUGCUGUUCUUCACUUCUUCUGGAGUCGAGGGUUUCCAGAGUUUUUCUUUUCUUUUCACGAAACAUGAUUCAGGGUUCUUCAUGGAAGCCGCAAAUCCCGUCUCUUUACCGCGGAUUAUCGCAUCCUACGCUGUUCUUCACUUUUUCUUCUGGAGUUGAGGGUUUUUCAGACUUCCAGUUCUUUUUUUCUUUUCACGAAACAGGGAUUCAGGGUUCUUCUGGAGUUGAUGGUUUCCGGUUUUUCCUUUUCUUUUCACGAAACAGGAUUCAGGGUUCUUCAUGGAAGUCGCAAAUCUCGUCUCUUUACGGCGGAUCGCGCGCUUGGCAUCCAGACCUUUUGGAUUUUUCAGACUUCCAGUAUUAUUUUUCACUUUUUCUUCUGGAGUUGAUGUUUUUUCAGACUUCCAGUAUUAUUUUUCCCAAAACAGGGAUUCAGGGUUUUGGGAUGCAAGUUCUUGGCCUUCUUUUCCUAAUCGAUCGAGGGGUAAAGCGCGUAGGUUUUUAA
rnacentral:rRNA from 1 species